rnacentral:rRNA from 1 species
CGCCCGUCACACCAUGAGAGUCUGUAACACCCAAAGCCGGUGGGAUGACCUUUAUAGGAGUCAGCCGUCUAAGGUAGGACAGAUGAUUAGGGUGAAGUCGUAACAAGGUAAC